AGCGGGUGAAAAGCCCGCUCGCCGGAAGACCAAGGGUUCCUGUCCAACGUUAAUCGGGGCAGGGUGAGUCGACCCCUAAGGCGAGGCCGAAAGGCGUAGUCGAUGGGAAACGGGUUAAUAUUCCCGUACUUGGUGUUACUGCGAAGGGGGGACGGAGAAGGCUAUGUUGGCCGGGCGACGGUUGUCCCGGUUUAAGCGUGUAGGUGUGUGUUCCAGGUAAAUCCGGUUCACUUUAACACUGAGGCGUGACGACGAGGCACUACGGUGCUGAAGCAACAAAUGCCCUGCUUCCAGGAAAAGCCUCUAAGCAUCAGGUAACAUCAAAUCGUACCCCAAACCGACACAGGUGGUCAGGUAGAGAAUACCAAGGCGCUUGAGAGAACUCGGGUGAAGGAACUAGGCAAAAUGGUGCCGUAACUUCGGGAGAAGGCACGCUGACAUGUAGGUGAAGUGAUUUACUCACGGAGCUGAAGUCAGUCGAAGAUACCAGCUGGCUGCAACUGUUUAUUAAAAACACAGCACUGUGCAAACACGAAAGUGGACGUAUACGGUGUGACGCCUGCCCGGUGCCGGAAGGUUAAUUGAUGGGGUCAGCGCAAGCGAAGCUCCUGAUCGAAGCCCCGGUAAACGGCGGCCGUAACUAUAACGGUCCUAAGGUAGCGAAAUUCCUUGUCGGGUAAGUUCCGACCUGCACGAAUGGCGUAAUGAUGGCCAGGCUGUCUCCACCCGAGACUCAGUGAAAUUGAACUCGCUGUGAAGAUGCAGUGUACCCGCGGCAAGACGGAAAGACCCCGUGAACCUUUACUAUAGCUUGACACUGAACAUUGAGCCUUGAUGUGUAGGAUAGGUGGGAGGCUUUGAAGUGUGGACGCCAGUCUGCAUGGAGCCGACCUUGAAAUACCACCCUUUAAUGUUUGAUGUUCUAACGUGGACCCGUAAUCCGGGUUGCGGACAGUGUCUGGUGGGUAGUUUGACUGGGGCGGUCUCCUCCUAAAGAGUAACGGAGGAGCACGAAGGUUGGCUAAUCCUGGUCGGACAUCAGGAGGUUAGUGCAAUGGCAUAAGCCAGCUUGACUGCGAGCGUGACGGCGCGAGCAGGUGCGAAAGCAGGUCAUAGUGAUCCGGUGGUUCUGAAUGGAAGGGCCAUCGCUCAACGGAUAAAAGGUACUCCGGGGAUAACAGGCUGAUACCGCCCAAGAGUUCAUAUCGACGGCGGUGUUUGGCACCUCGAUGUCGGCUCAUCACAUCCUGGGGCUGAAGUAGGUCCCAAGGGUAUGGCUGUUCGCCAUUUAAAGUGGUACGCGAGCUGGGUUUAGAACGUCGUGAGACAGUUCGGUCCCUAUCUGCCGUGGGCGCUGGAGAACUGAGGGGGGCUGCUCCUAGUACGAGAGGACCGGAGUGGACGCAUCACUGGUGUUCGGGUUGUCAUGCCAAUGGCACUGCCCGGUAGCUAAAUGCGGAAGAGAUAAGUGCUGAAAGCAUCUAAGCACGAAACUUGCCCCGAGAUGAGUUCUCCCUGAGACUUUAGGUCUCCUGAAGGAACGUUGAAGACGACGACGUUGAUAGGCCGGGUGUGUAAGCGCAGCGAUGCGUUGAGCUAACCGGUACUAAUGAACCGUGAGGCUUAACCUUACAACGCCGAAG
rnacentral:rRNA from 1 species